UACGUAGGGUGCGAGCGUUGUCCGGAAUUACUGGGCGUAAAGGGCGCGUAGGCGGUCCCUCAAGUCAGGCGUGAAAGCCCCGGGCUCAACCUGGGAACCGCGCUUGAGACUGAUGGGCUAGAGUUCGGGAGAGGAUGGUGGAAUUCCCAGUGUAGGAGGUGAAAUUCGUAGAUAUUGGGAAGAACACCGGUGGCGAAGGCGGAUCUCUGGGCCUUGCCUGACGCUGAGGCGCGAAAGCUAGGGGAGCGAACAGG
rnacentral:rRNA from 1 species